rnacentral:rRNA from 1 species
CAAUAGCGUAUAUUAAAGUUGUUGCGGUUAAAAAGCUCGUAGUUGGAUUUCUGCCGAGGACGACCGGUCCGCCCUCUGGGUGAGUAUCUGGCUCGGCCUGGGCAUCUUCUUGGAGAACGUAGCUGCACUUGACUGUGUGGUGCGGUAUCCAGGACUUUUACUUUGAGGAAAUUAGAGUGUUUCAAGCAGGCUUACGCCUUGAAUACAUUAGCAUGGAAUAAUAAGAUAGGACCUCGGUUCUAUUUUGUUGGUUUCUAGAGCUGAGGUAAUGAUUAAUAGGGAUAGUUGGGGGCAUUCGUAUUAACGCGUCAGAGGUGGAAUUCUUGGAUUGCGUUACGACGAACUACUGCGAAAGCAUUUGCCAAGGAUGUUUUCAUUGA